UUCCACGUUUAAAGUGUUACGCGAGCCUUUGUAUGGCGGAGCGAAAGGCACUCUGGGUCUACGUCACUGCCAGGGAAUUCCCUGUAGGAGGAGCCAAUGGGAUAAAAGUGACGCGCUCCAGCUGAACCGGCAUUGUGAUCUCUGAGUUGCGAAGGCGCCGCUGAGGAAAUAACCGGCUCCCGCGGAUCCACAAUCAUAGGUCGCGAUUUCCAGGAGUCCGAGAUGAAGCCCCGCACUGCAUCGUGUAGGAAACCUGUUCCUCGGGCUCCUGCCCCUCGGCGUCCUUCUACUGUCACUUCUCCUACUGUCACUUCUGCUGCAGAGGAGGAUGCCAUUCACAUGUUGGUCAUGCAGCUCCGGCUCAUUGGAGAUAAAUGUGACCUCAAGCAAAGUGUGCAGAACCUGCUGGCCAGACUCUCUUCCGGAACUUGAUAACGAGCCGCGUGAAACGGGCAGAAAAAAGAAAAGCUGAAAAAAUGGAAUUUGUAUUCUAAUAUACCUGAGACUGUGGCACAACAGUCUCUUCAUAAACCGGUUUACUGGUCAAGUUUGUCGUUCAAGAGGAAUAAUGGAGAAGUCUGUGUGGAAAUAUUCGAGUCGUCGGCUGCUCUGAGCUCGGUUCAUCUACAGAACUGAACCUCUCCCGUGACCCGUUAGGCCGAGAGGGUGAUCGCAAACUUUUGCCAUGGGGAAACCAUACACUGGAUGAAUUGCAGACUGAUUUAUUUAUAAUAUAUUCUAAUCUACCAACUUGAAAAAUGAAAUAUUUGCUGCUUUCAGAUCAACGUCUGUUCUGUGUCUUCGCUCAGCUGGACUGUUGGACAUUUAUAUUAUCAAUGGCAGAUUUUAGUUUAGUAAAUUGUUGUGAUUCAGUGUGUUGUAGUAAUUAGAUUAUCAACGCUGUCGCUUUGGAAGCUUUUUAGCCAUCAAAGGGUAUUUUAUGACCUCCUGAACAAUUGUAUAUUAAUAUUUGGCCUACUAUGUAGCACUUUUUCCUAUUUAUUUAAUAUUUAUUUAAAUUUACAAUGCUUUUAGUAUAACUUUGUUUUAACUCUUUUUGCACUGUAGAUAAUGGAUUCUCCGGCACUUGUUAUACCGUGCCAACACUAUAGACUUUGGCAGUGCGGGCCGACCCGAUACCCGCGGGUCGGGCAGGUUCGGGUCGACCACACGCUGCUCCUCGCGGGUGCAGGUUGAGCUCUUCUCCUACUCUCUCUCCGCCCGCCACCUUCAAAUGCCAACUUCCGGGGUACGGUUUUAUAGUCUCGCGUCUGCUUGCCCCGCCCCUUUUGUGGUGUCGUGGGUCUAUAAAAGGACCCCGGAAGCACCGGUGCGGGCGUGGGUUGGGGCGGGUCAGGAAAACCCUGACCCGCACAUCACUAUUUUGGGUUAUAUUUAUUAAAGAGUGAAGUUAGAGAUCACCACAGUCCAUUAGCAUGAAAUUCCGCCUCUCUCCAUUCAUUUCUAUGGGAUUUUUAAAGGCGUUUUUAUCGAAGGGUGAAAGUUCAUCCUUUGAUAAAUACGACUUUAAAAAUCCCAUAGAAAUGAAUGGAGAGAGGCGAUAUUUCACUCUAGCGGCCUGUGGUGAUCUCUCAACGUCCCUCUUUGAUAAAUUUACCCCUAUGUUUCUGGGUUACAAGUCCAAUGUAGUAUUGCAAAUUGACUGGCAACCUGCGCAAGAAAAGAAUUGAAAUCAAAUUGUUUUGACUUUCUCUGAAGCACUGCAGAGCUUUCUAAAACCGCAAAUUAUGCAUUUCUAUUGCAAAUGAUUUUCACCUUUUCAUGUAUUAUACAAAAAAAGUGAAUUGUAACAAAAAAAGACGAAAUGUAAUCUGUGCCCUAUACAAAGUACAUUUUUUUCACAUUUAUGUCUAAACUGAUUGCUCU